ensembl:lncRNA
CCCUAGCCCUGCCAGUGUAGCAGAAAUGAUAACUGAUGAUGAUGAUGGCAGCAGCACCCGUUCUUCUCUGGAUACUCCCUUCACCCUGGCCAAAAAGGCUAAAAUGACCAAAGAAAAAGUGGACGAAAUUCAUAGGGCAGUGACAAAAUUUAUAGUCAAAGAUCUCCAUCCAUUUUCAACGGUGGAGUCACCAUCAUUCAGGGAGAUGUCCACUGCCCUUAAUCCAAGGUAUCAGCCCCCAUCGAGGGAUGAUCUAUCCAACACACUUGUACCUGCUUGGUAUUGCGUGGAGAAAAGCAACCUCAUCCAGAAUUUGGCACAGGUUAACAAGGUCGCUAUCACCUGUGAUGGAUGGACCAGUAUUGCUCAGGACCAUUUCCUCACAGUGACUGUUCACUACAUCUACAAAG